AUCGCUGGCGGCAGGCUUAMMCAUGCAAGUCGAACGGUAACAGGGAUUAGCUUGCUAAUCUGCUGACGAGUGGCGGACGGGUGAGUAAUGCUUGGGAAUCUGGCUUAUGGAGGGGGAUAACUACGGGAAACUGUAGCUAAUACCGCGUAAAAUCUUCGGAUUAAAGGGUGGGACUUUCGRGCCACCUGCCAUAAGAUGAGCCCAAGUGGGAUUAGGUAGUUGGUUAGGUAAAGGCUGACCAAGCCGACGAUCUCUAGCUGGUCUGAGAGGAUGACCAGCCACACUGGAACUGAGACACGGUCCAGACUCCUACGGGAGGCAGCAGUGGGGAAUAUUGCACAAUGGGGGRAACCCUGAUGCAGCCAUGCCGCGUGAAUGAAGAAGGCCUUMGGGUUGUAAAGUUCUUUCGGUGACGAGGAAGGUUGGUAGGUUAAUAGCCUAUCAAAUUGACGUUAAUCACAGAAGAAGCACCGGCUAACUCCGUGCCAGCAGCCGGGAAA
rnacentral:rRNA from 1 species